rnacentral:lncRNA from 1 species
GUCUAUUUUCUAGGCUGGUCAUAUUUACAAUUGAAGUAUUUGAGACUUUAUUCUAUUUUUUUUUUAAUUUUGGAUUUUGUUUUAUUGUUUCUUGCUUAUGGUUUCAUUAACUUCUAUCAGUCCAAUUCUAAUUUUAAGGAGUUUUCUUCCUUGAGUUCUUGGGUUUCCUUUUCCACUUGACUGUCUUUUCUUUAAAGGGUUGUUUCCUUCAGGUUCUGUUUUGUUUGUUUUGGUUUGGGAUUUGUUUUUUUGUUUUGUUUGUUUGGUUGUUGUUGUUGUUGUUGUUUGGUCUCUAUUCCCAUUUGGUGGAUUCAAUUAAUUAGGAAGUUUUUUUCUUCAAUGAUUUUUUCCCCCAGCUGUUGAGUUUUUCAAUUAAUUCCCUUAUAUUUUUUAACUUCUUCCAGGGAUUCUUUUUAAGAUCUAAACUCCUUGCCCACUUUCUUUUGAGGCUUCACAUGUUUCCUUUAUGGCAUUGUUGUCCUCUUCUGAGCCCAUAUAUUGAUCUUCCUUGUCACUAAAGUACAUUUCCCAGGUCAGUUUUUUCUUUUUUUACUUGUUUUUCCAUUUUUUUCUUUCCUUUGUAACCAUAUUUAUCUUUUGAGAUCCUUCUCUGUUCCUGGAGUAAAAGGGUAUAUUGUUCUAAGAUUACAGAGUACUCUUCUCUGGUAUUUGGUGUAGGACUAGCUGCCCUUGUUCCUCGUGGUUUGUCUGUCAAGGAGACAGCAGUACUGGCAUGUUCUGGGGAGGUUGUCAACUGUUUCAUCCAAUUAUAUUUAGCAUAAUGACUUACCAGUUCCCCCAUUGUUUUGUGGGUUAGUCUGGUCCCCACUAUGUUGCUUCACUGCCCCUACCAAGUAGCCUGGGUGGAGAAGGCUCCCUGUUUUGAUUUCUACUGCCCCAGGCUUUCCCCCACCACAUCAUGCAAUUUUUGUCUUCAUGCAAAAUCUGAAUAAAAGUGAAGAGGGCAGUUCUAAAGAGAGGAAGCUGCUGAGGUAUCUAUACACAUAAAUGUACAUAUACACAUAUGUACACAUAUAUACAUCCAUAUAUACAUAUACAUAUACAUAUCUAUAUGUCUGUACGUAUAUGCAUGUGUGAGCAUAGAAUGCCUUCCGCAUUUUAAAGAUUUUUUUCAUAGACAUUGAAAAUGUUUUUUUUCACCAAGAACUCCUUGACAGCAGAGAUUGACUUUUUUGUCUUUUUCUGUAUCCUUGGUGCUGUACCUGGAACACUUGAGGCACUUACUAAUGAUUGUUGACUUAUUCAAAACCUAGGAUUUGUUUUUUUAAGAUAUAUUAUCUAUAAAAAGAAGAAUGUGCAUUUUUCAAAGACUUUCAAGUUUUUGAACUAUAACACUCAAGGAUGAGAUAGAACACUUUAUUAUCCCUAUUACUACAAGAGGAAACUAAGAAUCAGAGAUGAUGAUUACCUUUGGCUUAUAUGUU